rnacentral:rRNA from 1 species
UACGGAGGGAGCUAGCGUUGUUCGGAAUUACUGGGCGUAAAGCGCACGUAGGCGGCUUUGUAAGUUAGAGGUGAAAGCCCGGAGCUCAACUCCGGAACUGCCUUUAAGACUGCAUCGCUUGAAUCCAGGAGAGGUGAGUGGAAUUCCGAGUGUAGAGGUGAAAUUCGUAGAUAUUGGGAAGAACACCGGUGGCGAAGGCGGCGCUCUGGACCGAGACUGACGCUGAGGCGCGAAAGCGUGGGGAGCAAACAGG